rnacentral:rRNA from 11 species
GACUAUCCCAAUAACAAUCUAAAGGUCCUGGAUCCUGUCUGAUCCUGGAGGCUAAGCAUGAUCAGUCUUGAUCAGUACUUGGAUCGGAGACAAGCAACAAAUAUGAAGUGCUGUAAACU